AAGACUCUCGGCAAUGGAUAUCUCGGCUCUUGCAUCGAUGAAGAACGUAGCGAAAUGCGAUACUUGGUGUGAAUUGCAGAAUCCCGUGAACCAUCGAGUCUUUGAACGCAAGUUGCGCCCGAAGCCAUUAGGCUGAGGGCACGCCUGCCUGGGUGUUGCACAU
rnacentral:rRNA from 2 species